rnacentral:tRNA from 1 species
GGUGGGAUUGGGGAGCGGUCAAACCCAGCAGACUGUAAAUCUGCCGCGAAAGCUUCGAAGGUUCGAAUCCUUCUCCCACCACCA